rnacentral:rRNA from 1 species
UACGUAGGGUGCGAGCGUUAAUCGGAAUUACUGGGCGUAAAGCGUGCGCAGGCGGUUAUGCAAGACAGAUGUGAAAUCCCCGGGCUCAACCUGGGAACUGCAUUUGUGACUGCAUGGCUAGAGUGCGGCAGAGGGGGAUGGAAUUCCGCGUGUAGCAGUGAAAUGCGUAGAUAUGCGGAGGAACACCGAUGGCGAAGGCAAUCCCCUGGGCCUGCACUGACGCUCAUGCACGAAAGCGUGGGGAACAAACAGG